AUGCCGCUGUGCAUGGGAAGCACUCCCUGGAUCAUUUCCCAUGCACAGCGGCAUGGGGGAAGGUGCCCUCCAGCCAACUGGCUGGCUGGCUGGAGCGCAACUUCCCUUGAUGCUGUUGCGCACGGGAAACCAUCUAGGGAGUGUUUCCUGCCCACAGCUGCAU